rnacentral:rRNA from 1 species
GGUUGAUCCUGCCAGCAAUCAUAUGCUUGUCUCAAAGAUUAAGCCAUGCAUGUCUAAGUAUAAGUAAUUGUACUGCGAAACUGCGAAUGGCUCAUUAUAUCAGUAAUAAUCUACUUGACUAAUUCUGUUACUUGGAUAACUGUAGGAAUUCUAGAGCUAAUACAUGCAAACAGCCUGGACCGGGGCAACUUGGGAAGGGCGCGUUUACUAGUGGAGAGACCAACUUGGGGCGAUAACUCGGCUAGGGGGCA